UCCGGUUUGUCACCGGCGGUCUCCUUAGAGUUCCCACCAUUACGUGCUGGCAACUAAGGACAAGGGUUGCGCUCGUUGCGGGACUUAACCCAACAUCUCACGACACGAGCUGACGACAGCCAUGCAGCACCUGUGUUCGAGUUCCCGAAGGCACCAAUCCAUCUCUGGAAAGUUCUCGACAUGUCAAGGCCAGGUAAGGUGGGGAUGACGUGCCGCAACUAACCA
rnacentral:misc_RNA from 1 species